GUCGAUUGAUCNUGGCUCAGGACGAACGCUGGCGGCACGCUUAACACAUGCAAGUCGAACGGAGAUAUUUUGGUUUACUGAGAUAUCUUAGUGGCGGACGGGUGAGUAACACGUGAGCAACCUACCUUAGAGAGAGGGAUAGCUUCUGGAAACGGAUGGUAAUACCUCAUAACAUAACUGAACCGCAUGAUUUAGUUAUCAAAGAUUUAUCACUCUGAGAUGGGCUCGCGUCUGAUUAGAUAGUUGGUGAGGUAACGGCUCACCAAGUCGACGAUCAGUAGCCGGACUGAGAGGUUGAACGGCCACAUUGGGACUGAGACACGGCCCAGACUCCUACGGGAGGCAGCAGUGGGGAAUAUUGCACAAUGGGGGAAACCCUGAUGCAGCGAUGCCGCGUGGAGGAAGAAGGUUUUCGGAUUGUAAACUCCUGUCUUAAAGGACGAUAAUGACGGUACUUUAGGAGAAGCUCCGGCUAACUACGUGCCAGCAGCC
rnacentral:rRNA from 1 species